rnacentral:rRNA from 1 species
UACGUAGGACCCAAGCGUUAUCCGGAGUGACUGGGCGUAAAGAGUUGCGUAGGCGGUGAUUUAAGCGAGGAGUGAAAUAUGAUGGCUCAACCAUCAAGACAUUUCUCGAACUGAAUUACUCGAGAAUGGUAGAGGUAGCUGGAAUUUCUAGUGUAGGAGUGAAAUCCGUAGAUAUUAGAAGGAACACCAAUGGCGUAGGCAGGCUACUGGACCAUUUCUGACGCUGAGGCACGAAAGCGUGGGGAGCGAACCGG